rnacentral:rRNA from 1 species
CAGUAGCCGCGGUAAUACGUAGGGUGCGAGCGUUAAUCGGAAUUACUGGGUGUAAAGCGUGCGCAGGCGGUUGUGUAAGACAGGUGUGAAAUCCCCGGGCUUAACCUGGGAACUGCGCUUGUGACUGCACAGCUAGAGUAUGGCAGAGGGGGGUGGAAUUCCACGUGUAGCAGUGAAAUGCGUAGAGAUGUGGAGGAACACCGAUGGCGAAGGCAGCCCCCUGGGCCAAUACUGACGCUCAUGCACGAAAGCGUGGGGAGCAAACAGGAUUAGAUACCCCUGUAGUCCCUGUCUCUUAUAC